rnacentral:rRNA from 1 species
AACUUUCCUAAUUGGAC